ACCCCACUAUGCCAAGCCGUAAACAUUAACACAACAAACGCCAGGGCAUUACGAGCUUAGCUUAAAACCCAAAGGACUUGACGGUGUCCCACCCCACUAGAGGAGCCUGUUCCAUAAUCGAUAAUCCACGUUAUACCUAACCAUUUUUUGCUUUUCAGCCUGUAUACCUCCGUCGUAAGCCUACCAUAUAAAUGAAUAAUAGUAGGCCUAACAGCCUAAACGCUAUAACGUCAGGUCAAGGUGCAGCUUAUAAAAUGGAAAGUAAUGGGCUACAAUUUCUAAUUUAGAAUAAACGAAUUACUACAUGAAACACAGUCAUGAAGGCGGAUUUAGCAGUAAACGGGAAAUAAAGAGCCUCAUUUAAUCCGGCCCUGGGACGUGUACAAACCGC
rnacentral:rRNA from 1 species